CAUACGCACAGCGAAAAGUACGUGGGACAACAUAUGGUAUUUAGACAUUUACCAACCUGCUGGAGACAAAGAUUAGAAGUGAAGCACAAGUCGGCUCUGUAGCAACUAUACUAAUCUGAAUUGCCUCUCAAGCAGCCUUCAACUUGUCUGCAGUCAACUUUUUUUUUUUUUUUUUUGCUUUGUUUAGUUAAGAUCUGUCUGGACGCUUUCUCCGUUGGCUGCGCAUGAUGUCUUACUUCCUCCAUGUAUUUUCCCCCUUACUAGACGUUACUUCUGCUUCUCGGCCACCGCCAUAAUAGAUAAAAGACACAAAGCGCUCACCAAUUAGCGCUGUCAAGGUCGUGCCGCGCAUAGCACAAGUCAGAACCCACGCUGCGUAUUUAGUUCGUUAGCACGGCUGACCCCUUUCCGGGACGAGGAAAGCGAGGAUAACAUCAGUCUUGUCGUUUCUAUUUUUUUCCUUUUUUAUCAUUUCUCAGGCAUGCGACCGAGGUGGACUGAGCUCGAAAUGACCUGGCGAAGGCCGCCUUGGCAUGCACCCAGCAGCAAAAGAAGCAGAACCUCUGGGCAUCAAGAAAAUCGAGAUGCAGUGAUCGACCUGUACCCUCCCAUGGUGACUAGAUCGCCACCGUCCAUAUACCUCGCGCGCCCAUGUGACGAAGAAUAAAUCUGCGCUGGAAAUUCUCUUAAAAUGCACUGGAGCUCGUCCGUCGAUCUUCCCGCGCACCGUGCGAGCCGGAGAUGCGCUUCGUCCCUGGCACCGAGGCGUCCGCGCUGCCCACAUCGCUGAGAGGCGGUUACUGCAGCAUCAGGCAGCGGACGAAGUCGGCCUUGGCGAGUUUCUGCGGGGUCUGCAAGCCACAAUGCGCUGCUACCGCAUAUGCAUGGCUCCAAUCAGCACGACUCCAAACGCGGAUUUUCCGGUUACAGCGUGGACGCCAAGGCUGUUUCUAACGACGGUGCGUCGGCAGUUGUGAGAAAACUGCCUGAUGCGAGGACUUUGUGUUCGCAGGUUUCGCCGAAAGAAAAAAAAAUGUGCUGAAGUCAUCAUCACAUGAUGACUGUCAAUGUAGACAAAUAGCCGUACGCUUUUAGAAGGCUUCUCGCUUUAUUGAACGAAUGAUGCGCUUGAAGGCAUAUACUUCUUGCAGUGAGAACGUUAGGUAGCGUUUGUUUAGUGAGAACGUUAGGUAGUGAUGAGAGUUCCGGCUAUUCCUUUACAUGCAGAACAAUGUUACGACUGAAUGUAAACCAAGGUUGUGAGUUCGCUUUGUCGCCCUUUGCCUAUCUUCACAACCUCCGCAUGCAAUAGUCCGGGAUAUUUAAGGAAUUUUGACGAAAUAUUUAUUUUGCAGUUGCAAAUGUCAUUAGAUAUAUUUACUGUUGACUAUGAACGUGCGCCGAAAUUCUGUUUCAAAAGAGCACGCGCCAUUUGUUUCAGUGGUGAAAGACCGAUUGCCGACCACCGACCACUGGCCACCGACUAUCGACCAUAAAAACGGGAACGACAGCUAUUCGCUUUAAAAUGACAGGGACUCGGAUAUAACGAGAACAAUACUGCCUCUAACUUCAAUGUAUGGGUUUAUUGGAAACAGGUGACAAAAAUAUACACAAACACUAAUGAGGCUCAUAGGCAGAGGCACCUUGCGCACAAUAAAUUACAUUCACGAAUGACAGCUC